AACGAACGCUGGCGGCAGGCCUAACACAUGCAAGUCGAACGCAUCCUUCGGGGUGAGUGGCGCACGGGUGAGUAACGCGUGGGAAUGUAUACUUUGGUUCGGAAUACUGUCGGGAAACGGACGCUAAUACCGCAUGAGCCCUUAGGGGGAAAGAUUUAUCGCCGAAGGAGCAGCCCGCGUCUGAUUAGGUAGUUGCGGGGAUAAAGACCUACCAAGCCGACGAUCAGUAGCUGGUCUGAGAGGUGGUUCAGCCACACUGGGACUGAGACACGGCCCAGACUCCUACGGGAGGCAGGAGUGGGGAAUAUUGGACAAUGGGCGCAAGCCUGAUCCAGCCAUGCCGCGUGAGUGAGUAAGGCCUUCGGGUUGUAAAGCUCUUUCGCACACGACGAUGAUGACGGUAGUGUGAGAAGAAGCCCCGGCUAACUUCGUGCCAGCCGCCGCAGUAACAC
rnacentral:rRNA from 1 species